CUUCUCUCUCUCUCUCUCUCUCUCUCUCUCUCUCUCUCUCUCUCUCUCUCUCUCUCUCUCUCUCUCUCUCUCUCUCUCUCUCUUUCACGGAUCCCCUGUGCACAGCCACCCGAUCUGUCGCCGUGAACCACCAUCGUCGCCUCCAGCCACUGCCAGUCAGAACCUCGCCGCUGCCACCACCUCCUUCCUCUCGUCCACACGCCGACGCAGCCCCCUCUUCCUCCCUCGCAAGCUCUCUGUCUCACGGAUCCCAUGUGCACAGCCACCAUAUCUGCUGCCGUGAGCCACCAUCGUCGCGUCCAGCCACGACCUCGCACCACCACUAGCAUCCACCGAACCCUUCCUCCUCCCCCAUCCCAAAGCUCCUCCCUCUUCCCUCGCACGGACGCCCUCUCUCUCUACAGAAUUUACCCACCUCGCGGCUCAGAUCUGCUUUUUUUGUAAGGAUAUUGGACCCCAUAAUAUAUUCUCUUUGAAAAAUGUUACAGAUACUGUUCCACUGUGCCAAGACAGAGUAAAGACGAUUGUUGUGGCUCCAACUUUGAAGGUUGACAAGAAGUAGUUGCCGACAAGUAAUUUCUCCUUUCUUUGCCGCACUUUAUCUCUAUAAUUUGACCAUUUCGACCUCUUUAUAAAUGGUAAUCGUACAUACGUACUGAAAUCAGCAGGACUUCUAAUUCCAUGGCCUUUCAAUUUGGAGCUGCUUCCUCUUCUUCACCGUCUUCAUCUCCUCCCAUCCGUUCAUGUAAUCAUGAUGUAUUUUUGAGUUUUAGAGGUGAAAAUGUUGGUGGUAACUUUAUUUCCCAUCUAUACAAAGCGUUGGUUGAAAGGGGAAUCAAUACAUACAUUGACAACAAUCUUGAAAGAGGAGAGGAGAUUUCACCGGCAAUUUUUAAAGUUAUUGAAGGGUCUAAGAUUUCUAUUAUUACACUCUCUAAAAAUUAUGCAGAAUCUAGACGGUGUUUAGAAGAAGCAUUGAAGAUUCUUGACUGUAAGGAAACAAAAAGACAAAUUGUUCUACCAAUUUUUUCCCAAGUAGAGCCAUGGGAAGUACGGCAUCAAAAAGGAAUUUUUGGAAAAUCCUUUGAUAAACUUGGAGAUGAGGUCAAGGAUAACGCAAAGAUGGUGAAAUGGAAGGAAGCUUUGCAAAAAGUAGCCAAUUUAUCUAGUUUCCUUUUCCCAUAAGCGAACUUUCGGGACGAAUCUGAAUUUAUCGAGAAGAUUGUUCAAGAAGUCUCAAGCAAACUACCAAAUCGUACAAUGCUUGAAUGUAUCGAGAAGAUUGUUCAAGAAGUUUCAAGCAAACUACCAAAUCGUACAAUGCUAGCAUGUCGCAAAUUAUCCGGUUGGAUUGGAGUCCCGUGGAGAAGGAUUGUUCAAGAAGGAUUGGAGUCCCGUGGAGUCUCGUGGAGAAGAUUGUUUUUUAUUUUUUAAGGAGCUUUAGCUUUUUCACCAAUAAUUUCAUUGUGUAAGGAGCUUUAGCUUUUCCCAUAUUUCUUGGGCUUUGUUAAUUCUGAUGUGACAGUGUUGUUGGAUGGUUGUGAGACAGCGUGUUAUUGGUGGGCCUCUUCUCGAUCGAGGCCAUCAUUCUUCUCUUUAUUAUUUUUUAAUAAAAAGUUCUAUUUAAUGUUGUAAAUCAUAUUAUAAAUCA